rnacentral:rRNA from 1 species
CUACAUGAAGCUGGAAUCGCUAGUAAUCGCGGAUCAGAAUGCCGCGGUGAAUACGUUCCCGGGUCUUGUACACACCGCCCGUCACACCAUGGGAGUCGGAAAUGCCCGAAGUCAGUGACCCAACCACAACGUGAACUUUGUUCACGUGGAGGGAGCUGCCGAAGGUGGAGCCGGUAACUGGGGUGAAGUCGUAACAAGGUAAC